UUCUCUUUCAUAAAAGCUUUCAGUACUUUCCUUCUGCAACCUUUGUUCAUCUUCUUUUCGUAGCAUCACCUUCGUAUGGGGAAAUCUAAGAAGAAAUUUCCUCGCUGAUUGAAGAAAAUGUAGAAUUUGUUUCAUUUAUCUCCAUCUCAUACUGUUCACUGUGGGUUCUAUCUCUUACCACCGUUCGAUCAUCUCCGUCUCACUGUUGUUCGCUGUUGUUCUUCCUCUCACCAUCGUUCGAGUAGUUGCAUCUAUUGUUUGCUCCUAUAAUCGAGCUCAUGGGAUCGUUCACUCUAUUCACGUUCGUGGUCGCGGCGCCAUAACUCAUUUCAUUCUUCAAUUUUUGAAGUUCGUUCGUUCUGUUCGUUUGCGAAGCUCGUCAUCAACACUGUUCUACGCGGGAAGUUGUUGGUCUUAGGUUUUGGUGGGAAGCUCGUUUAUCAGAGCACCAAGAAGAGGGCUAGCAAACUCAAGUGCUCUGUCACUGGCAAGAGGAUUCAGGGGACAAUGAGACCUGAUAAAGGAUGGAUGUUACGAAGAAAAGAUCAAUUUGGUAGUAUAACUGAGGAAUUUAGAAAUGGCGUUGAUGGCUUCAUUCAACACAGUUGCAAGCACAGACUGAUAUGCAAGCAUUAAUGCAAGCACAAAUGAAGGCACAAGCAGAAAUGCAAGCAGCUAUGCAACAACAGAUGCAAGAGCAAAUGCUAUCUUUUAAGAGAGAAUUAUUGUCUGCUUUGAAGAAACAAGAAUGAAGACAUGUCUUAAAGAAUCUAAAACUUUGUUUGUGUUUUAAUUGUGUUGAUGCAUUACUUUUUGUUGAUACCCUCCAAUGCUUUUGUGUCCUAAAACUAUUAUACAUUGGUGGAAACUUUUAUGUUGUUUUGUACUGUUGGAUGGAUAUACUUUGAUCAUUGUAGGAUUGAUUAUCUAUCCUUUUUAAAUAGGUAUUGCAAAUAUUGGAGGUAUUUAGACA